GAUUAAAGAAGCACGACGUCGUUCCAUUUUUUGUUUUUGACGACAGCACGCAGAGUUCCACGGUCGAGAGAUGUGGGUUCAGCCCCUUACAGUGGUCAUGACGGUGAAGCCGUGGAGCUCUCCUCACGGCGGCAGCCGCACAACCGCCUUUCUUGUUUCCUAAAAUCCCAAUAUUCCAUCUGCAUCGACGCAGCAACUGCCGAUACUCCCAAAACCCACUUUCAAUUCAAGGACUCCAUCCUUCCAAGUCCCAAACGCAACCGCUGCUAUCUUCUUCUUCUUCCUCCUCUGCUAUUACUCCGUCCGCACAAACCGUCAAGCUCAGCGAAUUCGAUCCACCGCCGAGUUGGGCCAUCUCUCUCCCCUCUUCGUCCUCUCCACGGAUUCUGCGGCGGUCUAUGAAGCAUGGAUACGGAUACGGCAGUAUGAUACGACACGACGAUGCGAAAAAUCUAUAAAAAUUAAGAUAUGGCGGCGGUUUUCUCCGUCGCUAUACUUUGUAUUCUAACAAUAAACGCUAUGAGAAGAUUGGCAGCUGCAGUGGACCAACUAUCCAAUGUGGUGUCCCGGGAGGUGCCCGGAAUGCUUUCUUCUCUCAAACUCUCCGGCGUUGAGAUCAACGACUUGGCCAAGCAGCUUGCCGCUCUCAGUUGCUGAUGAAGACUUGAGAGGAUUACCUGAAUGGUCCUGCCGACAUUGACCGGGCAGGCUUCAGCAAAGAUAUGGUCGUCGAGCUUGGCGGGCUUCAAAUGGCUGAUGCUGAGGUGAAUCCCGGCCACCCUUUGGAAACCAGAGGCCAGGCGAGCUCCCAUGCUGGCCAGGGCCUCAGAGAUGAGCGCUGAUAUCCCUCCAUGUAGCACCUUGAAUGGCUGGUCUCAGCAGGAAAGAAUGGGAAAAGAUUCAUGACACGAAAAGAGAAAGAAGAUGAUGAUGAUGACCUGGACGCAGUUUUCGGUGACAUGGAGGCGACCAGAGACCUUGUUGGGGCUUAUCUCUUCAAGCUCGAACCCGAGCGCACCUAGUGGAGCAUCCAGAGUCGACGUCGUCGAUGGCGGCAAUAACGACGGCGCUGAUGGCUGAGAUUGGGACUGUGAAGCCAUAUCUGUACCAAACAUUACUGCGAAUAUAUUUAACUGACAUACAUAUAUAUUGUGUGUAUAUAUAUAUGUAUGUCGCUGGAUUUGGUUUGUGUAUUGUUUUUAGACGAUGAAACCAAAGCAAUCCAAAUUGCCCUUCGAUUA